rnacentral:rRNA from 1 species
GAAACUAACAAGGAUUCCCCUAGUAACGGCGAGUGAAGCGGGAAGAGCACAAAUUUAAAAUCUACCUGGCUUCCAGGUCGAGUUGUAAUUUGAAGAUACGUUUUUGAAGUUCUGGGUUGGACUAAAUCCUUUGGGAUAAGGUAUCAUAGAGGGUGAGAAUCCCGUAUAUACCAACCGUAGGGAUGUUAUUAAAUACGUUUCUAAGAGUCGAGUUGUUUGGGAAUGCAGCUCUAAAUGGGUGGUAAAUUUCACCUAAUGCUAAAUAUAAGCGAGAGACCGAUAGCGAACAAGUACAGUGAUGGAAAGAUGAAAAGAACUUUGAAAAGAGAGUUAAAUAGUACGUGAAAUUGUUGAAAGGGAAACGAUUGAAGUCAGUCAUGCCGGUGGGAAUCAACUUAGGGGAAACUCUGGGUGCACUUCUUCGCUUGGCAGGUCAACGUCGAUUUUGAAUGUCAUAAAAUAAUUGGGGGAAGGUAGCUCCUUCGGGAGUGUUAUAGCCCUUGAUAGAUGUGAUGUCUGGGAUCGAGGAUUGCAACGGAUACCCUUCGGGGCUAACCGCCUGAUCUCUAAUUGGUGUUGGGUUACGGACAGCAUGCUGACCGUGAUCUAAUUACUGGCUAAAAGGUUAGAGCGUGUAUAAAUUCGUUAAGGACGCUGACGUAAUGGCUUUAAACGAC